GAUGAAGAACGUAGUGAAAUGCGAUAAGUAGUGUGAAUUGCAGAAUUCAGUGAAUCAUCGAAUCUUUGAACGCACAUUGCGCCCCUUGGUAUCCCGAGGGGCAUGCCUGUUCGAGCGUCAUUUCACCACUCAAGCCUGGCUUGGUGUUGGGCGACGUCCCCUUUGGGGACGCGCCUCGAAACGCUCGGCGGCGUGGCACCGGCUUUAAGCGUAGCAGAAUCUUUCGCUUUGGAAGUCGGGGCCCCGUCUGCCGGAAGACCUACUCGCAAGGUUGACCUCGGAUCAGGCAGGGAUACACGCUGAACUUAAGCAUAUCAAUAAGCGGAGGA
rnacentral:misc_RNA from 1 species